AGUAACGUACAGAAACUUGCCAGUACUCAUUAGAACCCGUGUCGUAAUCUGUUGUUAAACGCGUUAGCAGCCGAGCAGAGAAAGUUUUCAGACUGAAUUCAACGAACAGACUGAAUUCUCUUUCCUCUUAUUUCUCUGUAUUCUCUGUCAAGACAACGCAGCAUCAACUAUUACGAGUAUUCCAUUCUGUUCAGCAAUGAACAACAAUCUCUGGCUAUCGUGUGCUACAAUUCAAAAUGUGAUGCUACAUCUUCUUGUCGGUGUUGUUGUACUCUUAAUAUAUUUGCCUGUGACAAACAUUAUAAUUGAAUUAUAACUAGUGGGACAAGACAGUGACAAAAACACACAUUUGGUCGCAAAAUCAAACGAAGAAAUAAUUUCGACGCGGAAUUGGUUGACGACAUAUUGACUUCUAAGAUUGCUCCAUUAUAAAAGCCAGGAGGAGACGUAACUUAUGUUUACCACCUUUGGUCUUCGCACGCAUUCGAGUUUCUCAUAAAUUUUUCCGACACCCUCUGUAUCGAUUUUACCUGCGUCAAUACGGUUUUAAGACGAGACGCAGAAAGUCACCUUGGCCGAAUAUUCCAGCGACUAAUCGGAAACGUACGCGGAACGUUCUAAUUAGCGAAAACGGUUUCGCACGUUUUGGGCAUUAUUUGGAUAUAUGUACAUAUCCGUAAAAAAUCCUCCAUUUCAGUAAAAAAGUGUCAAAAAUUGUCUGGAAUUAGUCAAAUUCAAGUAUAUUUGAGAAAUCUUCAAGGUUAAUUCUCUCAAAAACUAUAAUAAAAAUAA